CAGCAAGGGAAAAGAUGAGAAGUCAAGGAAGCGACAAGAGGCACAGCAAGAAAUUGGAGGAGGACAGCAGUGGACUGUGCCAGUAGGGGCUUGGCUCUCUUUUGGGUGAAAUUGCCCCCUGUGGUGAAGGCCAGAAUAAGGAGUCACCAGAAUAGCUCCUGAGGUACCAAGAAGAGAGGACCAGUGAUAGGGAGAAAAGCUGAAUGACUCCAAAUCUACUUCC